rnacentral:rRNA from 1 species
GUGAGGAAUCUUCCACAAUGGGCGAAAGCCUGAUGGAGCAACGCCGCGUGAAGGAUGAAGGUCUUCGGAUUGUAAACUUCUUUUAUGAGUGAAGAAUAUGACGGUAACUCAUGAAUAAGCACCGGCUAACUACGUGCCAGCAGCCGCGGUCAUACGUAGGGUGCAAGCAUUAUCCGGAGUGACUGGGCGUAAAGAGUUGCGUAGGCGGGUAUGUAAGCGAAUAGUGAAACCUGGUGGCACAACCACACAGACUAUUAUUCGAACUGCAUAACUCGAGAAUGGUAGGGGUAACUGGAAUUUCUUGUGUAGGAGUGAAAUCCGUAGAUAUAAGAAGGAACACCAAUGGCGUAGGCAGGUUACUGGGCCAUUUCUGACGCUAAGGCACGAAAGCGUGGGGAGCGAACCGGAUUAGAAACCCCUGUAGUCC